ensembl:snRNA LOC120100152 U6 spliceosomal RNA
UUGCUUUGGCAGCACAUAUACUAAAAUUGGAAUGAUACAGAGAAGAUUGGCAUGACCCCUGUGCAAGGAUGACAUGCAAAUUCGUGAAGCAUUCCAUAUUUUA